AAGUCGAGGGGCAGCAUGGUCUUAGCUUGCUAAGGCUGAUGGCGACCGGCGCACGGGUGAGUAACACGUAUCCAACCUGCCGUCUACUCUUGGCCAGCCUUCUGAAAGGAAGAUUAAUCCAGGAUGGCAUCAUGAGUUCACAUGUCCGCAUGAUUAAAGGUAUUUUCCGGUAGACGAUGGGGAUGCGUUCCAUUAGAUAGUAGGCGGGGUAACGGCCCACCUAGUCAACGAUGGAUAGGGGUUCUGAGAGGAAGGUCCCCCACAUUGGAACUGAGACACGGUCCAAACUCCUACGGGAGGCAGCAGUGAGGAAUAUUGGUCAAUGGGCGAUGGCCUGAACCAGCCAAGUAGCGUGAAGGAUGACUGCCCUAUGGGUUGUAAACUUCUUUUAUAAAGGAAUAAAGUCGGGUAUGCAUACCCGUUUGCAUGUACUUUAUGAAUAAGGAUCGGCUAACUCCGUGCCAGCAGCCGCGGUAAUACGGAGGAUCCGAGCGUUAUCCGGAUUUAUUGGGUUUAAAGGGAGCGUAGAUGGAUGUUUAAGUCAGUUGUGAAAGUUUGCGGCUCAACCGUAAAAUUGCAGUUGAUACUGGAUGUCUUGAGUGCAGUUGAGGCAGGCGGAAUUCGUGGUGUAGCGGUGAAAUGCUUAGACAUCACGAAGAACUCCGAUUGCGAAGGCAGCCUGCUAAGCUGCAACUGA
rnacentral:rRNA from 1 species